GUAAUAUAAAAAACCGUCUCUUAGCUUUUAACUAAAAAAAACUAAAAAUCAGUUUUUAAAUAAGAGUUUUAAGAACCGGUUCUUAACUUUUUUAGUUAAAAAUUAAGAGACGGGUUCUUAUAUUCC
rfam:Brassica oleracea var. oleracea cultivar TO1000 chromosome C5, whole genome shotgun sequence